rnacentral:rRNA from 1 species
CCUACGGGUGGCAGCAGUAGGGAAUCUUCCACAAUGGGCGCAAGCCUGAUGGAGCAACACCGCGUGAGUGAAGAAGGGUUUCGGCUCGUAAAGCUCUGUUGUUGGAGAAGAACGUGCGUGAGAGUAACUGUUCACUCAGUGACGGUAUCCAACCAGAAAGUCACGGCUAACUACGUGCCAGCAGCCGCGGUAAUACGUAGGUGGCAAGCGUUAUCCGGAUUUAUUGGGGGUAAAGCGAGCGUAGGCGGUUGCUUAGUGCUGAUGUGAAAGCCUUCGGCUUAACCGAAGAAGUGCAUCGGAAACCGGGCAACUUGAGUGCAGAAGAGGACAGUGGAACUCCAUGUGUAGCGGUGGAAUGCGGAGAUAUAUGGAAGAACACCAGUGGCGAAGGCGGCUGUCUGGUCUGCAACUGACGCGGAGGCUCGAAAGCAUGGGUAGCGAACAGGAUUAGAUACCCCGGUAGUC